GGCUCCCCAAGAAAACAGUUUUGCGUGGAGCCUAGACGAAACACAUUGGAGCAGUCAACCGUUCCGAAGCUUUCAUGGUGACGUUGUAAAUUUUUAUCAUCUUAUUGAGGAAGCUUAUUUGAAGAAAGAGCAGUUUUCUUUACUGGAGUAACAAGGGACUACGGAUCUGAAGGUCACAACAUUUAACGAUUUCUAAAAGGAAAGUAAGGUAGCUGUUUGUUCUCAAGUGUUUCGUUUAUUCUGUCUCGGACAGUACUGAAUUUACUAACCUUUCAUUUUUCAGAACUCGAAUAGUUCCUCUAAAAAGAGUGUGUUUGGGUGAUAGAGUGAAUGUGUGUGUGCCAUAUAUACUAAUAGUGGGAUGGGAUUACCUUUUUUUUAAUUGAAACAUUAAGCCAUCUAUCAUCCUUGUAUUUUCUUUGAAAAAAAAACAAAAAACUGGAUGGUAGGUGGGAGUGAAAACGGAAAACACUAUAUUCUUUUCUUUCUCUCAAAACUCUCGCCUAACAUUUUCAUCGCUCCCGUGGAAUUCCUCAAAUUAUAGCAAAGUUCCUUCGCCUGCUGGCUUCCGCUGCAGAAGCGCAUCCAUAUGGACGAGACUGGCUGGACUAUACUGCGUAUCCUGUCGCAGCGAAACAACGACGAAAUAGCGAAGGAAUUCGUUAAGCUUAAGUCCGAAGCACGACAGGAAAUUGCGGCUCAGGGUUAAAGGCAGACAAAAAAUAACCAAAAAGUUAAACAAAUAUGUCAGUGUUGCGUGGACCGAAACAAAUAAUAAUUCGUUAUAACUAUUCGUGCAUAUAAGACAGAGCAAAAAAAAAAAAGAAACACAAAAAUCCUAUCCAACUUACAUUAAACUAAGCCCUAUCAAGCAGAAUAAAAAAGGAAAAAGCAAAGCAUAGAUAUGAAAAGUGACAAAAGAAACUAAUGGAAAAAAGAUAAGGAACUAUGAUAAAGGUAUAGAGAAAAGGUGACAGAGCUGGAUCCCCUACUGGAAGAGAUAGUGCAAGGAGAGAAUAGCAGAGAACGUACGAGAUAAAAAAAAAGCAAACGGAAAGAAAGAGACGCGUAAGAUCAGCAAAGUUCACAACUUAUCUCUAAAUCUCGAACUAUAUUUCUAUUCCUACAAUCGAACCAUCACUGUGUGUAUCCUAAAUCGCAAAUCGUGUAUUGUCGUCAUAGUUAUACAACAAAAACUCGUCGUCUAUAGGCGUCUCCCUGCAGAGGCCGACGUUUGCGUCGGGAGCGGCGGCGUUCCGUCCGUUGCGCUAUCGAUCCGGUAUCCGGUGCGCCCGACACGUUUACCCAUAUUUUCCGACUCCAAUCACUCCAGCAACUGAAUCAAUCGAUGUUUGAGAGCGAUCCAAAAAAUGCUCCACAUAUCCACCUUCUCUAUAUCUGAUGUUAUAUUCCACUGCGUUCUACGUUCUGAGUUCGUUCGUAAGCAGGUGAUCUCGUUCCGUUUUGCAUAGAGCUAUAUCAGGUUAUAGGCAGUUUAGUGAAGUAAAACAAAAAGAAAAAAGAAAAUACCGAAGCCAAACAACAAGGAAAAAAAUCAAUCAAAAAAAAACUACACAACUUGCUCGUAAAGUAUUAUUUCCUCCUC